rnacentral:lncRNA from 1 species
GCGAAACUGGGGCUUCAGGCUGGAUGUCAACAGUGGCUCCCUCGGCACUGAGGCUCCGGGGUCGUAAAGUGCACCUGGCCCGCGUUCCACGAGGCGAGUGUGGCCGUUCCCUGCUCGUUCUGUGGCUAUUCGUCUAAGUCCAAUAUGGCAGACAAAAGCCUUGCAGAAACUGCUGGAUCCCGGUACGGUGGGGUGGGGGGGGUGGGGGGGACAUCAUGUGACGGUCGCCGGCCGCGGUCCCAGGGCGCCCUGUGAUGUUCCUGUUUGUGGCUGUGCCACAGGCGCGUGGACGCACGGGGCUGGCGGAGCACAUUGUCCAAAGGCAGGUGUGGGGGUGCCCCGCAGAAGAGGUCCACUCGGGGCAGCGGCCGCUGUGCCCCAGGGUGGCGCGGCCCGGCACGCGGCGUCCUCGCCAGGCCCCAGCCGACACACUGCCGGCUUCCAGGCCUGCUCCCCACACCCUGCUCCUGUUUGCAGCCCCUUUCGUCUCAGCCCAGGAACCUUGUUGCCAGGGGGGCUCAGAGCAAGUUGACAUCCAGUUGGGGCGUCAACACAGACACUCCACCAGCAAGAACAACAUACAAAGGGAUGUGAAACCCCACGUGUGUGUGUGCAUGUGUGCGUGCGUACAGAAGAGGUAACAUCCAUGCGCGUGCACAUGUUCGUGUUGGUGCAAAGGAUAUUGAGAAGCCGCUCCCGGCGUGAGAAUAUUCACUGAUGACAGUUGUGUUUAGGGGCAGAGAAUUCCAAGAGCUUCCAGAACCCGGCGAUUCCUGGCUCUAACCCCAAACGGACACCGAGAAUCCCCCAGGGGAAAGAGGGAGUCUGUACCCCUGUGUAGCUACCAACACAGAUUUAAGGGGGCCCAGGGUUCACCGGAAGGCAUUUCCAGUUUGCUUGAGCAAAACCACUUGAAAACAAGCAUGACAACGUGGCAAGCCAGAACCGCCUCACGGCACCUGCUUCCUCCAGCAGCACAGCCCCCACCCCCGGAGAAAUGGCCACGUCCCCGAGGCACCAACAACCACAGGUCACGCCGCUGCUGGAAGCAGGGAGGGAGAAUGCAGCGUGAAGACACAGACGCGUGGGGGAGACGGCCGUGGGAGGACACAGGCAGAGACGCAGUGACGCUGUCACCCGCCCGGGAUGGCCCGGGCCACCAGCGGCUGGAAGAGGCAGGGAGGCGCUUUCCCCCAGGGCGAGGGACCCUGGCCAGCCACACCUGGAGGAAGCAGGACCCUGACCAGGAGGGGCCGCGGCCACGAGGGAGCCCGUCUCCACCCUCCGUGACGACGAGCGGGGCAUCCGAUGUCACGAGGCCGCAGACAUCACGGGAGCUCCCUCCCCUCCGUGCCGGGAGCCGGCCUCCGAGCCCCUCUAGGGUUUUGGCCCCACACAACUCCUACAGGGUGAGGGUCCAUCCAGGACGGGGAGGGGUAUCCGAAGGCAGGACUGCCGUGUUGGGGUAGCCCCGACGGGCGCGGCCAGGGCUCAGCCGAAGUCCCAGGCCCCACACCCAGGCAGCGAGGCCUCGAGCACAGCAGGCCCCGCCUGGCCCCGGGCUCGUGCUGCCCCAGCAGCACCUUCCGACCCUCACGGGAAGGCUCUGAAGUAUGUGAAUUGCUUCUGACGUCAUAGAACAGCCUGCACCACUGUUUAUCGUCUUUACCUGCGUAUCACGCCCAUGGUCUUCCCCGAGGGCCCUGAGGUUCAGGGUCCAGCUCGGCAAGUGGGCAAAUCACGUGGGCAGGGGAAGAGGCUGGCCAGCAGCUGUCUGGCCCCGUCAGUUGGGGUCAGGCCAGAAGUCACGGGCAGAGGAGGGCGGGUGGAAGGCCGUCCCCGCCCAUGGGCUUGUGCCAAGCAGACAACCAGGUCUGGGAGACGUGGCCUCUGUCCUGGAACAACGGACCUUCUCUGCCCCUUUACCUCUCGUAGUCACAUAAAAUGCGACGCGAUGCUCCAGUUUGGAGACGUCAGAAACCCAGGUAGGUGGCCAACCACUGCCCACGUGGGGAGUGAGCCUCCACGGAAACCGGCCCUUCAGGUGGCCCACACACAACGGGUGAGUCCCACACGCGGGUCACGGGAGGCUCACAGCGGCAAAGCAGAUGCUUGUGUGGACAAGUCUGUCCCCGGGGACAUCUGUCCCCCUGUCCAUCAGAGCAACUUCCAGAGGCCCCGCCAGGUAGACCACUGGGGCUCUGCCCACGGACCGUGAGCCAGGGGUCCUGGGAAGUACCUGAUCCUCAGGGCUGAGCACAUUCCCCUCCUGGCUGAAAGCCCUCACCAGGGGCAGACUUGCAUUCUACCCCAGGGCCCAGGCCCCAGUCCCGGCGGGGGGGACUCAGGUGCAGUAGGGGGCCCAUCCCCCAGCACGGGAGCCGUGAGGGUGGGGGUGCUGAGGGCA